CCAGACUCCUACGGGAGGCAGCAGCGGGGAAUAUUGCACAAUGGGCGCAAGCCUGAUGCAGCCAUGCCGCGUGUAUGAAGAAGGCCUUCGGGUUGUAAAGUACUUUCAGUCGGGAGGAAGGUGGUAAGGUUAAUAACCUUAUCAAUUGACGUUACCGACAGAAGAAGCACCGGCUAACUCCGUGCCAGCAGCCGCGGUAAUACGGAGGGUGCAAGCGUUAAUCGGAAUUACUGGGCGUAAAGCGCGCGCAGGCGGUCUGUCAAGUCGGAUGUGAAAUCCCCGGGCUCAACCUGGGAACUGCAUUCGAAACUGGCAGGCUGGAGUCUUGUAGAGGGGGGUAGAAUUCCAGGUGUAGCGGUGAAAUGCGUAGAGAUCUGGAGGAAUACCGGUGGCGAAGGCGGCCCCCUGGACAAAGACUGACGCUCAGGUGCGAAAGCGUGGGGAGCAAACAGGAUUAGAUACCCCAGUACA
rnacentral:rRNA from 1 species